rnacentral:rRNA from 1 species
CCUACGGGGGGCAGCAGUGGGGAAUAUUGCGCAAUGGGCGAAAGCCUGACGCAGCGACGCCGCGUGAGGGAUGAAGGUCUUCGGAUCGUAAACCUCUGUCAGCAGGGAAGAACGGUCACUGUGCUAAUCAGCAGUGAAUUGACGGUACCUGCAAAGGAAGCCCCGGCUAACUACGUGCAGGCAGCCGCGGUAAUACGUAGGGGGCAAUCGGUAUCCGUAUUUACUGGGUGUAAAGGGCGUGUAGGCGGGAAAGCAAGUCAGAUGUGAAAACCAUGGGCUCAACCUGUGGCCUGCAUUUGAAACUGUUGUUCUUGAGUACUGGAGAGGCAGACGGAAUUCCUAGUGUAGCGGUGAAAUGCGUAGAUAUUAGGAGGAACACCAGUGGCGAAGGCAGUCUGCUGGACAGCAACUGACGCUGAGGCGCGAAAGCGUGGGGAGCAAACAGGAUUAGAUACCCCAGUAGUC